UACGGAAGGGGCAAGCGUUGUUCGGAAUCAUUGGGCGUAAAGGGCGCGUAGGUGGUCUUGUGUGUCUAUCGUGAAAGCACACGGCUCAACCGUGUAAAGUCGAUAGAAACUGCAAGACUUGAGGUUGGGAGGGGCUGGUGGAAUUCCCUGUGUAGCGGUGAAAUGCGUAGAGAUGGGGGAGAACACUUGUGGCGAAGGCGGCCAGCUGGACCAAAUCUGACACUGAGGCGCGACAGCGUGGGGAGCAAACAGG
rnacentral:rRNA from 1 species